rnacentral:tRNA from 1 species
GGGUGGAGCAGUUCGGUAGCUCGUCGGGCUCAUAACCCGAAGGUCGCAGGUUCAAAUCCUGCCCC